GCAGUCGAGCGGUAGAGAGGUGCUUGCACCUCUUGAGAGCGGCGGACGCGUUAGUAAAGCCUAGGAAUCUGCCUGGUAGUGGGGGAUAACCCUCGGAAACGGACGCUAAUACCGCAUACGUCCUACGGGAGAAAGCAGGGGACCUUCGGGCCUUGCGCUAUCAGAUGAGCCUAGGUCGGAUUAGCUAGUUGGUGAGGUAAUGGCUCACCAAGGCGACGAUCCGUAACUGGUCUGAGAGGAUGAUCAGUCACACUGGAACUGAGACACGGUCCAGACUCCUACGGGAGGCAGCAGUGGGGAAUAUUGGACAAUGGGCGAAAGCCUGAUCCAGCCAUGCCGCGUGUGUGAAGAAGGUCUUCGGAUUGUAAAGCACUUUAAGUUGGGAGGAAGGGCAUUAACCUAAUACGUUAGUGUUUUGACGUUACCGACAGAAUAAGCACCGGCUAACUCUGUGCCAGCAGCCGCGGUAAUACAGAGGGUGCAAGCGUUAAUCGGAAUUACUGGGCGUAAAGCGCGCGUAGGUGGUUCGUUAAGUUGGAUGUGAAAUCCCCGGGCUCAACCUGGGAACUGCAUUCAAAACUGUCGAGCUAGAGUAUGGUAGAGGGUGGUGGAAUUUCCUGUGUAGCGGUGAAAUGCGUAGAUAUAGGAAGGAACA
rnacentral:rRNA from 1 species